UGUGGUAUCUAUACUAUUAAACGAGAAGACCUCAUUUUUGGUGUCGCUUCUCCUCCUUCCACAAUAAAUUGAUCAUUGUGACUGUAUGUCCUGUAGGUACCAUGAAUAGUCGCAUUUGUCAUCCAUUCUUAUGAUUAUUCAGUUUCGGUUAUUUUGGGAGAAAAACGGAAAAAAAGAAGUCCGGAUAUGUGUCCGUCAUCACCCCGGCUUUUAUUCUUAGACAACUUCCUCUUCCGUUUAUAUUUCCAGAAGUUUGGCAAAUUUACAUUACAUACCCUAUAUUAUCAUGUUUUAUUUAAGAUUCAUUGCCUGAAUCGUUAUAUAAGAAUGUUGUCCCAAGUGUAAGCAACGACCCAGGCCGUGUGAAAAUAAACACAAUCAUUUUUGUCAUUCACUUAUCGUCACGUAAAUAACGACACAUGCAUAGCCUAUAUUAUCAUGUUUUAUUUAAGAUUCAUGCAAUCGUUAUAUGUUGUCCCAAGUGUAAGCAACGACCCAGGCUGUGUGAAAAUAAACACAAUUAUUUUUGUCAUUCACUUAUCGUCACGUAAAUAACGACACAGGCAUAGCCUAAAUUAUCAUGUUUUAUUUGUCACGUAAAUAACGACACAGGCAUAGCCUAUAUUAUCAUGUUUUAUUUAAGAUUCAUCCAAGCCAUUUUCACAUUGACUGAAUCGUUAUAUGUUGUCCCAAAUCAGUGGCGUAGCUUGGUCAUUUUUAUGUGUACGCUCGAACCUUGGCGAGGGAUAUGAGGGGUGCCAACCGCUCAAUGUUAAAGCACCUGCUGGUAGUGGGUUCGAAAGGGACGAAGCCAACGAAAGCUAUCGAGAAUGAGAUACCGUAAUGAUUCCUGUCAGUAAAAAAUAAUUGAUAGCAACAUACUUUUGAAUCUAAAUGGUUUAUUUGUUUUAGUUAAAUUUUGUAAUAUGUUAACUUAUUUAUCGUGUUAAACUGGAAGGUAGCCUAAUGGUCAUUGGUUUGAGAGAAAAACGUCCAAACCAAUAUUACUUUUAAAUAAGUUUAAAGGGUGCCGUGAGUGAGCAUACAAUCGACAAAAGCACCUUUUAAUGAACACGAAAAAAUAUAUUUCUAAGAGAUGCAAUAUAAAAAAAAUUUGGAACACCUAGGAAUUCUUCCCACAAAAAGUGAAUCAAUUUAUCAUUCAUUUAAAGGGAUUUAAAAAAAAAGUCUAAAACUUUCUUUUGAUAUUUUUUUCUUGAUCUGGAAUAUUUCAC
rnacentral:lncRNA from 1 species